rnacentral:lncRNA from 1 species
GGAGCCAGAGCCACCCAAUCCCGUAGGGACAGGUUUCACAACUUCCCGGAUGGGGCUGUGGUGGGUCACAGUGCAGCCUCCAGCCAGAAGGAUGGGGUGGCUCCCACUCCUGCUGCUUCUGACUCAAUGCUUAGGGGUCCCUGGGCAGCGCUCGCCAUUGAAUGACUUCUAGGUGCUCCGGGGCACAGAGCUACAGCGCCGCUACAAGCGGUGGUGCCCGGGCCUUGGCAGGAGGAUGUGGCAGAUGCUGAAGAGUGUGCUGGUCGCUGUGGGCCCUUAAUGGACUGCCGGGCGUUCCACUACAAUGUGAGCAGCCAUGGUUGCCAACUGCUGCCAUGGACUCAACACUCACCCCACACGAGGCUGCGGCAUUCUGGGCGCUGUGACCUCUUCCAGGAGAAAGGCGAGUGGGGGUGGAGAGGGGCAGGGUGGGAGACAGGGGACCUCAGCCCAAGUUGAUCUUCUGUCUCUUGCUCCCAGACUACAUACGGACCUGCAUCAUGAACAAUGGGGUUGGGUACCGGGGCACCAUGGCCACGACCGUGGGUGGCCUGUCCUGCCAGGCUUGGAGCCACAAGUUCCCGAACGAUCACCAGUACAUGCCCACGCUCCGGAAUGGCCUGGAAGAGAACUUCUGCCGUAACCCUGAUGGCGACCCCGGAG